AACACAUGCAAGUCGAGGGGCAUCAGGAAGAAUGCUUGCUUUCUUUGCUGGCGACCGGCGCACGGGUGAGUAACACGUAUCCAACCUGCCCUUUACUCGGGGAUAGCCUUUCGAAAGAAAGAUUAAUACCCGAUAGUAUAAUGAUUCCGCAUGGUUUGAUUAUUAAAGGAUUCCGGUAAAGGAUGGGGAUGCGUUCCAUUAGGUUGUUGGUGAGGUAACGGCUCACCAAGCCUUCGAUGGAUAGGGGUUCUGAGAGGAAGGUCCCCCACAUUGGAACUGAGACACGGUCCAAACUCCUACGGGAGGCAGCAGUGAGGAAUAUUGGUCAAUGGGCGGUAGCCUGAACCAGCCAAGUAGCGUGAAGGAUGAAGGCUCUAUGGGUCGUAAACUUCUUUUAUAUAAGAAUAAAGUGCAGUAUGUAUACUGUUUUGUAUGUAUUAUAUGAAUAAGGAUCGGCUAACUCCGUGCCAGCAGCCGCGGUAAUACGGAGGAUCCGAGCGUUAUCCGGAUUUAUUGGGUUUAAAGGGAGCGUAGGUGGACUGGUAAGUCAGUUGUGAAAGUUUGCGGCUCAACCGUAAAAUUGCAGUUGAUACUGUCAGUCUUGAGUACAGUAGAGGUGGGCGGAAUUCGUGGUGUAGCGGUGAAAUGCUUAGAUAUCACGAAGAACUCCGAUUGCGAAGGCAGCUCACUGGACUGCAACUGACACUGAUGCUCCGAAGUGUGGGUAUCAAACAGGAUUAGAUACCCUGGUAGUCCACACAGUAAACGAUGAAUACUCGCUGUUUGCGAUAUACAGUAAGCGGCCAAGCGAAAGCAUUAAGUAUUCCACCUGGGGAGUACGCCGGCAACGGUGAAACUCAAAGGAAUUGACGGGGGCCCGCACAAGCGGAGGAACAUGUGGUUUAAUUCGAUGAUACGCGAGGAACCUUACCCGGGCUUAAAUUGCAGUGGAAUGAUGUGGAAACAUGUCAGUGAGCAAUCACCGCUGUGAAGGUGCUGCAUGGUUGUCGUCAGCUCGUGCCGUGAGGUGUCGGCUUAAGUGCCAUAACGAGCGCAACCCUUAUCUUUAGUUACUAACAGGUCAUGCUGAGGACUCUAGAGAGACUGCCGUCGUAAGAUGUGAGGAAGGUGGGGAUGACGUCAAAUCAGCACGGCCCUUACGUCCGGGGCUACACACGUGUUACAAUGGGGGGUACAGAAGGCAGCUAGCGGGUGACCGUAUGCUAAUCCCAAAAGCCUCUCUCAGUUCGGAUCGAAGUCUGCAACCCGACUUCGUGAAGCUGGAUUCGCUAGUAAUCGCGCAUCAGCCACGGCGCGGUGAAUACGUUCCCGGGCCUUGUACACACCGCCCGUCAAGCCAUGGGAGCCGGGGGUACCUGAAGUACGUAAACGCAAGGAUCGUCCUAGGGUAAAACUGGUGACUGGGGCUAAA
rnacentral:rRNA from 1 species